GAAGUUUCAUAAGGUGAAGAUGGUCAGGUGCUGAGUAAUGGACUAAAUUGGACUGGGUUAUGAUCAGGCACUAAAACUUCACCAUAUAGAUUGUAGAAGAUCCAGACAAAUGAAGAGGAAAAUAAUUAUAUUUUCUGUAGUUUACUUAUCUGCUUCACAUAUCCAGUAGCUUUAAGGCAAAGAGGACUCUUCAGCAAUUGAGCUCCUGUAGACAACAGAUGGCAGAUAAUCACUGGAACAGCCUCCAAUUUUGUCAGUAAAAGAAAAGUGAUCGUCCACCUCUCUCCUACAGUAAGUAGCUGAGGAUAUUUCCAUUGAGACCAUUAUAAUCAAAAGACGACUGAGGAUCUGAGAUCUGAAAGAAGACCCCUUCUUGCAGAGAGAAUACUUGGUAGGAUGUGUGUUACAGAUAAAGUGAAACAAGUGGCUCUUGCGAGGUCUUUUGCACAGAAAAGAAUUCCUAAGAAGCUGCACGCCAAAUGAGGUUGUUAAUAAAAAACUGACUCCAGUAUGAAGCUUAAAGUGCCAGUUAUAAUUAAAAAGAAAUUUUAAAAUAAAGUCACCACAG